rnacentral:rRNA from 1 species
GACGAACGCUGGCGGCGUGCUUAACACAUGCAAGUCGAACGGAAAGGCCCUGCUUUUGUGGGGUGCUCGAGUGGCGAACGGGUGAGUAACACGUGAGUAACCUGCCCUUGACUUUGGGAUAACUUCAGGAAACUGGGGCUAAUACCGGAUAGGAGCUCCUGCUGCAUGGUGGGGGUUGGAAAGUUUCGGCGGUUGGGGAUGGACUCGCGGCUUAUCAGCUUGUUGGUGGGGUAGUGGCUUACCAAGGCUUUGACGGGUAGCCGGCCUGAGAGGGUGACCGGCCACAUUGGGACUGAGAUACGGCCCAGACUCCUGCGGGAGGCAGCAGUGGGGAAUAUUGCACAAUGGGCGGAAGCCUGAUGCAGCAACGCCGCGUGCGGGAUGACGGCCUUCGGGUUGUAGACCGCUUUCGCCUGUGACGAAGCGUGAGUGACGGUAAUGGGUAAAGAAGCACCGGCUAACUACGUG